GUCCCACGGGUCCUCAGGGGGAGCUGCCCUACACCCUGAGCCGAAGCGCCAUGCUGCAGUCGCCCCACGGCAUCGACCACGUGGUCUCCAACUGCCCCCUCACCCCCCUGAGCUAUACAGCCAGGAACCUAACCACUGCCCAGGCUGCCUGAUGGGCUACCCGGCCGUGAUGAUGACCCUGCUGCCCAGAGUGCCCGAGGUGGUGCCGGCCCAGAGCCAGCCGGGGAGUUCGUCCUCCUGUUGGGCCGCUCCGGCAGCGUGGCCUGCCCCAUAGACGGCAGAGACCUGUCCCGCCAGCGCAUCAGCGGCACCAAGGGACGGCCAAGCGGGAGGCUGCGCUGGAUGGGCCCGUGGGGCCGUGCCGGGGGAGCAGCCCAGGCUGGCUGGGCCCGUGGGGCCGACUCUCCAUCCGUCUGUCUGUCCCUAGGAGACCCUGGUCCUACUGUUGAAGAGUUUGCCCCUGGGCUGUUAUUUCAACAUCUAUGGCUUUGGGUCUGAGUUUGAGUCCUUCUACCCGCAGAGCGUGGAGAAUACCCAGCAGACCAAGGCCGAGUCCUUGCAGCGCCUCCAGCUGCUCCAGGCUAACCUGGGGGGCACCGAGAUCUUGGAGCCGCUACGAGCCAUUUACCGCAGCCCCUGCCGGGACGGGCGCCCACGCCAGGCGCCGGGGCCAGCCGAAGGGGCAUCCUGGGGAGGGCUUGGAGAGUGAUUGUGGGGCCGAGGGGUGACGUGGGGGGUCGCAGAGAGGGAUGCGGGCCUGCGGGGACAGACUCACAGACUUUCAGGACAGAAGGGACCAUCAUGAUCAUCUCAUCAGGCCCCAGCUCCUCGCCCGCCCCCCCCCGCCCCCCCGUGACACUGCUCAGCCCCUCGCUCACCCCGGGGACAGCCCCGCCCCUCAGGCUGAGUCACCAGCACCCCCAAACCCUGAGUUACAGGCGUCAGGUCACAGCGACGCCCCCCAGUUGCUCCGGUUCAAACCAGCGAGUGCCCCAGGCUGCUGAGGGAGACCAACCCCCUCGGGUCUCUGCCAGU